rnacentral:ncRNA from 2 species
AGAGUUAAAAAGUACGUGAAAUUGUUAAAAGGGAAACGAUUGAAACCAGUGUUUCUGCUAGGAAAUCAGCUGGCAGGGUGUCGAGGCUAAUGGUGUAAGUGGGUUAAACCCUUUGCCGUGGGCUAAGAUAUAUUGUCAGUGCACUUUACUAGUGGAGAGUCAACAUCAGUUUUGAGCGACGGAAAAGACUUUGGAGAAGGUGGCUUGUCUUUCGGGGCGAGUGUUAUAGCUUCAGAGGGAUACGUUGCUUGGGACUGAGGACUGCAGAACGACCCGCAAGGGAUAGCGCUUCUUUUGUUAGUUGGGUCAUGGCCAUGCAGACAGCUUGCUGACUGUGAGGGUAGCGACUUGACAGGUACUUGAGAACAGCGACUUUACGUUCUAAGGAUGUUGACAAAAUGGUUUUAAAUGACC